AUGAUGACCUACCCAAGAGAUUGCUGUAGAAAAUUACCUAUAAUGAAUGAAAAUCACAAAGAAUCUCAACCCAAAGUAGACCACGUGGACGACAACUUUGCAACUUGCCUUCUCAAGCUCUUAGUGAUGGUUCUUAUUUUUUAUGUAUUCCGGGAGGAAUGUUUUGGAAAUAAGAAAAGAAAAGGAAAUGAUCAACUUAAGGAAAAUGAUCAACUGAAGGAAAAUGAUCAACUUAGGAAGGAAAAUGGAAAAUUGCAAAAGGAAAUUGAUGAGAGGAAAACUCAAUUUAGGAAUGGCUGGCAGAAGUCAUCGUUGUAUCCUGGUGAGUAUGUUGCACUGAAGAUGAGUCUAAGAUAGACAAUUAAGCUUGUAAAUUCUAUAAAACAUUGGGCUACUAACUACCACAUGACAGAGAAAUACAUACAUAUAUAUAUAUAUAUAUAUAUAUAUAUAUAUAUAUAUAUAUAUAGAGAGAGAGAGAGAGAGAGAGAGAGAGAGAGAAGCGUAUGUAUAUAUAUGUGCUUGAAACUUCUGGUCCAUAGCAAACACAGCAAGAAAGAUAAUUUUUUAGUAUUUUUCUUUUUGUCUUUUCUCACCUGCCUCUCACAAGACAGAAGUUAAUUAAACCAGAUAUUAAGAAAUGAAAAAAGUAUAAUUUUCUCUUUUGUGAUUUUUAUUCAUUCUCACUAUAUUACAACUUCAGUUCCUUGCCUAACUCAAAAACAUACAUUUUUUUCUCUAAUUUUUUCCACCGGUAUUGGAUUUUAUCAAAUGAUUUUUCUGUGACUAUUGAGAUGAUUAUGCUAUGCUGUCCUUUAUUUUAUUAGUAUGGUUUAUUAUAUGAAUUGAUUUUUACAUGUUAAGCUGAUCUUGCAUUCUGGGAACUAAUCCCACUUGGUGGUGUGUAUAAUCAUUUUUGCAUGGCUGUUAUAUUAAAUUUACUAGUAUUUUAUUGAGAGUUUUGCAUCUGUAUUCAUGAAGGAUAUUUGUGAUGUCUUUGCUUUUAGUACCAGGGUGAUACUAGCCUCAGGAUGAUAAGGGAAAUAUUCUACCCACUUCUAUUUUCUAGAAGAUUUUGUUGAAGCUGGUAUUUUCUGUCCUUAAAGGUUUGAUAAAACUCACCAGUAAAAUCAUCUGGGCCGGAAUGAAUUCGCAUAAAUUUCAAUUCAAUUAUUUUACUUGUUAUAAGUCUUUCCAGAUUUUCUAUUUCUUAAGCCAUUUUUAGUAAUUUGCGUAUCUUGGAGAAUUUGUGUAGUUCGUCUAAGUUUAAUUUGUCAGCUAUGGAUUUUAAUAGAAGUUUCAUUUGAGCUUUCUAAAUUCUGUAGAUUCAAUAUGAUCUCAUAAUAUGUGGUUUCUCAUUCUUAUUGAGCAAUCUAGUAAAAUUUGCUGAUUUCCUAAAAAAGCAAAAUCUGUUUCAGUGAUUUUUUUUCCUAAAAAUUUUGUUUUCUUUCAUUGAUUUCUAACCUAAUCUUUAUUAUUUCAUUAUUUGAUUGCUCUAAGCUUAGUUCACUCUUCUCUUUUCAGUCUUUUCAUGGAGAAACUUAGGCUAUUGGUUUAAGAUAAUACUUUUUCUCUACUUUGGACAAUUCAAGCUCCAAAUUUCCCUGUAGGUAUUACUUUUAGCUGCAUCCAAUAAAGUUUGGUAGAUAGUGUUCUCA
ensembl:lncRNA